ACAAAUAUGCAGCAGAAAUUCGGUCAGGUCGACUGGAGUGGAGUCCUGUUCACAAAUCCGAGAAGUUUUGGCGUGAAAAUUCUCAAAGACUCAAUGAAAAGAAUUAUGAAUUAAUAAAGAUUCUUACAAGAUUGUUAGACACCUCUCAGGAUCCUUUAAUUUUAUCUGUUUCUGCGCAUGAUGUUGGUGAAUACGUGAGACACUUUCCAAGGG